rnacentral:lncRNA from 1 species
GGUGUGUGAAAACACGGCAGUGACAGGGGUACCAGCACUGCCUCGCGAACAGUUUUGAACUUUGUGGCCCCUUCCCAAAGUUUCCUAAAAAAGAAAGAACAAUGAAAGAUAAUGAAAAAACUGAAAGAUUAUGAAAGAACUGAAAAGAAGGAAGUUCUUCACAUGCAUCAAUGAACUGUUAGAAGUGAAAUUCACAUUUCCUAUCUCUUUUGAGUGAGGCUUUGAAGCAGAAUGUAGCUCCCAAAGAAAGAUAUUUUCCAUUUUAUCAUGGCUGAAAAACCAAAUGUAAAUG